UACGUAGGGUGCGAGCGUUGUCCGGAAUUAUUGGGCGUAAAGAGCUCGUAGGCGGUGUGUCACGUCGUUCGUGAAAACCUGCAGCUUAACUGUGGGCGUGCGGUCGAUACGGGCAUCACUGGAGUUCGGCAGGGGAGACUGGAAUUCCUGGUGUAGCGGUGAAAUGCGUAGAGAUCGGGAGGAACACCUGUGGCGAAGGCGGCCGACUGGGCCGACCCUGACGCUGAGGCGCGAAGGCGUGGGGAGCGAACGGG
rnacentral:rRNA from 1 species